rnacentral:pre_miRNA from 1 species
AGUGGGAUAACUGGGUCAAAUGGUGGUUCUAUUCCAAGUUUUCUGAGGAAUCUCCAUACUGCUUUCCAGAGUGGUUGUACUAAUUUGCAUUCCCACCAGCAAU